AUUGAACGCUGGCGGCAUGCUUUACACAUGCAAGUCGAACGGUAGCGCGGGCUACGGCCUUGCGGCGCUUGGCGAACGGGUGCGUAAUACAUCUGACCGUGCCCAGUCGUGGGGGAUAGCUCGGAGUAAGCCGGAUUAAAACUGAAUCCGCCUAACGUGUCAAAGCGGGGGAUCUUCGGAUCCCGCGCUCUUGGCAUGGGCGAUGGCCGGUUAGCUAGGUGGGGGGGUAAAGGUAUACCAUAACGACGGCCCGUAGCCGGACUGGGAGGGCGAACAGCCCCACUUGGACUUGAGCACGGCCCAGGCCCCUACGGGGAGCAGCAGGGGGGAAUUUUGGACAAUGGGCGAAAGCCUGAUCCAGCAAUGCCGCGUGUGUGAUGAAGGCCUUCGGGUUGUAAAGCACUUUUGGCGGGAACGAAAAGAACUGUGCCAAUACCACGGUUCGAUGACGGUACCCGCAGAAGAAGCACCGGCUAACUACGUG
rnacentral:rRNA from 1 species